rnacentral:rRNA from 1 species
CCUUUAACAACAUGCAAGUUCGAGCGGAAUGACUGGGAGCUUGCUCCUUGAUUCAGCGGCGGACGGGUGAGUAAUGCCUAGGAAUCUGCCUGGUAGUGGGGGACAACGUUUCGAAAGGAACGCUAAUACCGCAUACGUCCUACGGGAGAAAGCAGGGGACCUUCGGGCCUUGCGCUAUCAGAUGAGCCUAGGUCGGAUUAGCUAGUUGGUGGGGUAAUGGCUCACCAAGGCGACGAUCCGUAACUGGUCUGAGAGGAUGAUCAGUCACACUGGAACUGAGACACGGUCCAGACUCCUACGGGAGGCAGCAGUGGGGAAUAUUGGACAAUGGGCGAAAGCCUGAUCCAGCCAUGCCGCGUGUGUGAAGAAGGUCUUCGGAUUGUAAAGCACUUUAAGUUGGGAGGAAGGGCAGUAAGUUAAUACCUUGCUGUCUUGACGUUACCGACAGAAUAAGCACCGGCUAACUCUGUGCCAGCAGCCGCGGUAAUACAGAGGGUGCAAGCGUUAAUCGGAAUUACUGGGCGUAAAGCGCGCGUAGGUGGUUUUGUUAAGUUGGAUGUGAAAGCCCCGGGCUCAACCUGGGAACUGCAUCCAAAACUGGCAAGCUAGAGUACGGUAGAAGGGUGGUGGUAAUUUUCCUGUGUAGCGGUGAAAAUGCGUUGAUAUAGGAAGGAACACCCAGUGGCCAAGGCGAUCCACCUCGUGCUGACUCUCACACUGAGGUGCGCAUAGCGUGGGAGAGCACAACAGCAAUUAGAUACCCCUGGUAGUCCAGUGCCGUAUUCCGAUGUCAACUAGCCGUUGGAAUCCUUGAGAUUUUAGUGGCGCCCUCUAACCGCAUUUAGUUGUCCGCCUGGGGAGUACGGCCGCAAGGUUAAAACUCAAAUGUAUUCACGGGGGCCCGCACAACCGGUGGAGCAUGUGGUUUAAUUAGUAGCAACGAUAAGAACCUGCCCAGGCCGUAUCAUGCAGAGAGCUUUCCAAAAAUGGAUUGGUGCCUUCUGGGUCUGUAACACAGGGGCAGCAAGGCUGUCGUCAGCUCGCGUCGUUACAUGUUGGGUUAAGUCCCGUAACGAGAGCAACCCUUGUCCUUAGUUACCAGCACGUUAUGGUGGGCACUCUAAGGAGACUGCCGGUGACAAACCGCAGCAAGGUGGGGAUUACGUCGAGUCAUCAUGGCCCUGACGGCCUGGAUCCUCACACGUGCUACAAUGGUCGGUACACAGGGUUGCCAAUCCGCCAGGUGGAGCUAAUCUCACAAAUCCGAUCGUAGUCCGGAUCGCAGUCUGCAACUCCCCCUGCGUGAAGUCGGGAUCGCUAGUAAUCGCAAAUCACAAUGUCGCGGUUAAUACGUUCCCGGCCCUUGUACACACCGCCCGUCACACCAUGGGAGUGGGUUGCACCAGGAGUAACCAGUCUAACCUCGGGAGGACGGUAUCCUAUCA